rnacentral:lncRNA from 1 species
UCGACUUGCUCCUCCCGGAUCUUCCCCGACUCCGAGUCUCCGACUUGCUGAGUUGCUGCAGCGCUGACCCCCGACCGGCGACCGGCCGACCCCGACUUGCUGGUGAGUUUCCUCUUCUCCCCUCCGAGUCUUUGCUCCUCAGUUUUCAGUCCUCAGUCCUCAACUCCUCAACCGUUCUGUUUCACUGUUUGAUUUUAUCUAUUAU